AUGUAAAAUACUAAAUAAUCAAACAAACAUCAUUCAAAUGCAUCAUCCAAAUAGAUCAUGUAAAUGGAUUAUUUGGAUGAAAAUGCCAAAUGAUCAAACAAACAGGGCCUAGAUAAAAAAAUAUUUGGACAACUUGAGAGACAUGGUUUAAAUUUUACAAUUAAACAACUCUCAAUGCUCAUCCUUGGACAUCCUAAUAA
rnacentral:sRNA from 1 species